UGGGAUUAGGGUUCAGUCUUCAUAUCUCACCCACCGCCACUUACCUUUAGUUCCCAAAUCCCAACCCUCAAUUCACACCUCUGCAGACUUCAUCUCUUCUCCAAGGAUGCCGCCCUCUUCAGCUCUUCUCCAAGGCCGACCGCCUCUGCUCAGCUGCACCAGACCACCAGUCAGUCGCCGUCAAAGCUCGCCCGUCACUGCAGCCGGCCGGCAUCGUCACAGCCAUCGUCGGUCACCUUGUCGUUGUCCCUCAUCGAGCUCACAUCGGCGUCGCUCCCACUUUUCUCCUCAGUGUCACUGUUCUCACCGUCACUGUCCUCGCCGGCUCGCCUCUCCAGUCUGCGAUCUCUGGUCUCUGCUCGCCUCUCCCUCAUCGUCUUUCUGCUAACUGAUGGGUGAGGAGGUGAAAGCAAUUGUUCCCGAGUCUGUGCUUAAGAAGCAGAAGAGGGAGGAGGAAUGGGCCUUGAAGAAAAAAGGAGGAGUUUAAUGCUGCAAAGAAGAAGAGAGUUGAGAGCCGCAAGCUCAUUUAUAGGAGGGCAAAGCAAUAUGCAAAGGAAUACCAGGAGCAGUUUGAAUCUUGACCUUCAAACCUUUAAUGAUGAUGAAGAUAUGAAAAGUGAUCAAGAAUAAUGAUUGAAGACUCUUUUUAUGCAAUUUCUUUAUUAUACCAUUAAAUUUGUAGUGAUGAAACAUUAAUUUUUUUUUUUAAUUUCAAGUUAUUUGACACUGUUG